UCCUCUAGAAGUCAUGUGGUGCGACCUGUGUAUGCCUCCUUUUGCUACAUGAGAUCCAGGAAGGAGCCCGGCUUUGGGAACUGAGGGAGCCUAAGCGAGGAAGCCACACACCCUGUCACACUUCAAUUUCACCACUCAACAAAGGGUCUAGAUGCCCACUGUGUGCCAGGCAUGGUUCUAGGUUCUGGAGAAAAACAGGCAGUGAGGAAGGAAUAUGAUGAGAACAGAGCCAUCAGAGAAUAAGAGAAGCCAAGUGAAGAAAAUGCUUCCAGAAGCAGGUGUGAUCAUCUGGGGGAUGCUGUUGGAUGGAAGGCUGAGCAGCCAAAAGUUCCUGGGGGCCUUGAGGAAAGGUUUCAGAAGAGUGGGAGGACAGCGCCUGGCUGGAGCCACUUCAAGGGAGACUGGGAGGAGGGAAGCUCCACACGCGGCACAUCUCGGGCAAAUAUGGUUUGUGACUCUCUGGCUUUGUCCAUACGUGCCUGCUCUUAUGUACUGAGGCCCUGUCUAUCACCAGGGGAAAACAGCAUGCUACGUUUUACAAAAGGGCAGAAGAAGAAACCUUCUCAAAUGACCCUAGUUACCGUCAUUACGUGAAUUUGGAAACAGCUUCCUACACUUUACCAGUGGCUUUCUGUACCUAGAAUUAGCUGCUGCCUCAAAAAAUAAAAAUAAAAAUAAAAAUAAAAAAGGCUUUUGGCUUGGUGAGAACCUGGCCCCAGAAUCUUAAUCGUGUCAUCGCCAGGAUUCUCAAACUACAUGCCGAGGUGCACUCCUGGACCGUAAGCUGUUGCGCUGUGUGCUGUGAACCAAAGGUCAAACGUGUGUGAAAAACAUUGGCCUGAGCAGGGCUUGAAAUCUGUCAUCCACUAACAGGAGCUGCACGGCUCCAAAGAAAACAGGUCUCCCAGUCACCUGCACACGACAGUUUUCUGCUCCAGGGCCCCUCCUUGGGGAAGCCCGCUUCACAGAAUGAACACUGCCUGCCUGGGAUGCCUGCCCUGACUCCUGCCAGAGGGCUUCCUUGCCCUCCCAAACCCUGGCCUUUUGAGGCAGGAUGCCUACCCACCACCUGCCCCAAUUUCUGAACACCAUGGCCCCCUUACUACCUCUUGCCACUCCUGGUCCUGCACCAGGCUGUUGUCCGCCUCAAGCACCUGAGCCCCACCUGGAUGUUCCCAGCCCUGAGCUUGGCUCCCUGGACCUGUGUCUCAAGACUCAGCUGGAAGCUACACAGAGGUGCUCCCUAGAGGGCAGGCUCCAUCUGGGCUUGUCUGGAAGCCCACGGGGCCGGCUCAGAGCCUGUGCAGAGACAACCGAACAUCCCAUGGGAAAAGGGUCAGGCUAAGGGGAGGGAGACAGGUGCCAGGGCAUGGCUGUGAAGACAGGAGCUGGGGUAACUGAGCAGAGUGCGCUGCCUGCCACCUGGGGCCCGAGCUCCAUGCCUGAAUCACAGGGGGAGACGGCAGGAGAGUGGGGCUGGAGACGGGGCAAGCAGCCCUUACCCACCCAACAGUGACCACGUGCAAAUGGCCGUGCUGGGCAGAGCCGGCCACACUGGCUCCAUUGUUUUGGCCAUUUGUAUUUUUCCCUUGGAGAAUUGCUCAUUAUAUCCUUUGCCAAUUUCUCUGUUGAACUAUUUGUCCUUCUUCAUGAUCUAUAGGAGUUCUUUUAUACGCUACGAUCAUCCAUCUUUGGCCUUUUUCUAGGUUACAAAAGGCUGCACAAACUUUCCUUCUGGGCUACUGCUUGUCUUUUCACUACGUUUAUGGUGUCUUUUGAUAUACUGGAGUUUUCCAUUUUUAUGUAGUCAAAUCUAUCAUUCGGACACAGGAGGAAUGGGAGGCAGGGGUCCUGGGAGGCAAACGCUGGCUCUCCAGAUCUGCGCACUGGCUAUGCGAGUGUGUUCGCUGGGUGAAGAUUCAUGGAGCUCAAUGCUUAGAGUGUUCAUUUUUCUCUAUUUAUGUUACACUUCAAUAAAAAUAUUUCUUAUAUCA